UCCAUCCCAAUUUUACACCCAACCCUAAUUCAUUUCUCUCCAUCUUUGCUCUCCAUUUUCUCUCUUUCAUCCGUCUCUCACUCUCUACUCGCCCACCAUAUUUAUCAGCCGUAAAUCCGCCUCUCUUGCAUCUGUAUUCUUCGAUUGUCGUGGUGUAGCAGGCGUCGAAUCUGCUCCUCUCGCAGCUGUGGAUCUGAUAAGGCGACGGAGCAAAAUGGCACAGCGCUGUAGUCACUGCAGGCAGCAAUGCUGCAACUAUAGAAUACAAUCGCACAAUUUGCAGUGCCAUUGAUGGUCGCACAACUUGCAGUGAUGCGCGCAGCGGCAAUCACACGACUUGUAGUGAUGCGGCGAUUGUGAACUUCAGUCUGUGGAUCUGAUAAAGAGGUGGUAGUGAUGCCAUGGUGGCUAUUGUGACAGCAGAUUUGGGGAUUUAUUUGUGGGUGCGGUGAUUGUAGUGUAAUGGAGAUUGUGGUUGUGAUUUUUGGUAUAGGGGGUGGUGCUGCUGCAUUUGCUGGCCACCACGUUGAUGGUAAGAUGGGGAUGGAGGUUGUAGUGGUAGUCAUAUUGGUAUUGACAUUGGUCGUAGUUUUGUAGCUUAAAAUGAUGCCUUGUUUGUGGUGGGGUGGUGGCUUUGAAGUUGGAAAUAGUGGUUUGUUGGACGUAGUGCCUACGAUGGUGUUGCUAGGAGGUGUUGACCAAGGUGCGACUAGAGGCACUAAUAAAUUGGUGGUCACAACGUAGUCACAAAUUAUUUGAUUGGUUGUGACCAAUGAAUAGACAAAUUGUGAC
rnacentral:lncRNA from 1 species